AUGGAUCAGCCCAAUCUGACUCUCAGUGACUUCUGGUCUCAGCAGGAAGCCUAUGACAAUGUGAUUUUUGCGGUAGAAGAGGCUUGCUUGUCUGUGACUCAGGCUGGGCUGACUCAGCCGUCCUCAGUGUCUAAGGGGCUAAAAGAGACAAUCACAAUCACCUGCACUGGAGACAGCAAUAAUCCGUCCUCAGUGUCUAAGGGGCUGAAAGAGACAAUCAAAAUCACCUGCAUUGGAGACAGCAAUAAUGUAGGUUAUGAGGGUGCAGGAUGGGUUCAGCAGCGUGAGAGUCAGGGACCCCAAACUCUUAUAUACAGGAAUAAUAACCGGCACCCAGGGAUCUCAGAGAGGUUCUCUGGCUCCAGGUCUGGCAAUGUGGCCACCCUGACCAUUUCUGGACUCGAACUGGAAGAUGAGGCUGAUUAUUUCUGUGCAGCCUGGGACAAAGGUCUCAGUGCUUGCACAGUGCUUGGAGCCAGUGAGGAAGUGAGACAAAAAUCUUCAAACCGAGGAGCUUCCUCCUGCCUACUCACUACUCAGAGCUUUGGGUACAAUGAACCUUUGAGGAGAUGUGGGCUGGGUUCCUGCUGGACAAUUUGA